GGGGCCUCCGGAGCUCAGGCUCACCUCCAGCUCCGGGACUCGCCACCGUGUUCGUUGUCAAGAGAAACGUUGGCAGCCCCAGAUCUGGAUGUCAGCAGCACCCUGGCCUGACUGCU
rnacentral:precursor_RNA from 12 species